rnacentral:lncRNA from 1 species
ACCCAUGAGAAUAUAGGAAAGUGGGAGAUGCUGAAAGAAAAUUUCCAUACAUGACAUUUACUCCUAGAAAGUAGCAAAAGAAGAGGUCCUCGGUGUGGGCAACCCUGAAGGUUAGAGUGGUCACUCUCCAACCUGUGGAAACCUCCAGCCUCAAACAGGGACACCUUCUCCCUGGGACUGGGGUUGUUCUGAAGUCAGCAAGCUGACAAAAGAUGGUCACAGUUCCUGCUUCACUUUUUUCAGGAUCCUGAAGCCGGUCAAGUGCCACUGGACUUCAUUUACUGUCUUCUCUGCCUUCUACUGGCCUUAGGGGAAAAAAAAAGUGAGGUCAUAUUUGAUGUCCUUUUCUUUGGCUGGAAACCUGAACUGGUCUUUGGAAAUACAAGGUCUUAACAAGGAUGGUGUAUGCUUUGGACUUUGGCAUUUCCAUGAUGAGUUUAGGACUUUGGCUCCUUCCCAGACUGUACAUGCUGAGACCUUGGGGAACACGGCUUCCAGUCAAUGUGCCUGGAUCUCCUCUCUUCUCUUCUGCCUGUCCCUGCCAGCCCUCCUUCACUCCAGACUCCCUGUCAGCCCUCCCUCACCUCCAGACUCCCUGUCAGCCCUCCCUCACUUCCAGACCCAAAAGAAGGUCAGCUGCAAUAAGGACUGACUGACUUGGGAUGGGAAGGGCAAAACUGAAUUGAAGCAAGAGUUCUACUUCAGCAUCUGGUGCACAGAUUUAGUAACUUUAGUGAAAUUAAAAACCAAGACAAAACAAAUGCAGAGCCUAUAUUACAAGAUUUGUUAUAGGAUCCUUAAUUUAUCUGCUUGGCUUUUGAUGAAAUUGUUUUUUUUUUUUCUUGCACUGAAAUGUAUAAUGUCCUCUACUAGUUAAGCUCUGGAAUCUUUUCCAGUCAACUUCCUCCCUCUGGGAUGUAAUAAAGAGACAACUUAUGACCCA